rnacentral:rRNA from 1 species
UACGUAGGCAGCAAGCGUUGUUCGGAAUUACUGGGCGUAAAGCGUGCGUAGACGGUAGCGUAAGUCGGGUGUGAAAGCCCCGGGCUCAACCUGGGAAUUGCAUUCGAGACUGCUCUGCUAGGGUGCGGAAGAGGGAAGCGGAAUUUCCGGUGUAGCGGUGAAAUGCGUAGAUAUCGGAAGGAACACCAGUGGCGAAAGCGGCUUCCUGGUCCAGCACCGACGUUCAGGCACGAAAGCGUGGGGAGCAAACAGG